ACACUCAGAAUGAGAUGUAGCCACCUCUGAGAGAAAAAACAGUGAGUGCGUCAUUACCGGCCGUUUAAUUGUGUGCAGCAGGGCUACACAAACAAUCAAGAUAGGAAAGGAUUAGUCAGUCCACUGCAAAACUGCAGGUGGAGGUUUUUUUAACUGGUUUAUUUAUGUCCAGGUCCACAAAAUUUGGACAUUCCUUGGCUCAUCUUAAAAAUCUGAGACAAACACAGUUCUCUAGGGACAUUCUUUGCCCGGUAUUUAUUAUUUCAUUUUCUAGCAGAUCAAAACCCACUGCAACUUUGCAUUUGCUCCCAUUAGAAUCCUCCUGACUCCUCUCAGGAAACCAGAAGCGCACUUUGUAGCUGGUCAUAAAAGUCAACAAAUAAGAGAUGUUUUGAAAAACUUUGAUGUUUGAAGAAAUGGGUCUCAACAGAACCUUCUGGUUUUUUAAACAAACAUAAAUAUUUCAUGGAUGCCUCAAGGGAGCUGAAAAUCACUACUGUUCUCUGUGGGCUGAGUUCUGUAGUUGUGUUUUGUCUCCCACCAGGCAUUUAGCCCUCCAGUCUCUGAUGUUCUCCCUCACCACAACACAUGCAGUCCCGGCCAGCUCAUGAGAGCAGGCAGUGAGAGCACCGAAAUGACAGUUCCCACGAAGAAUCACAGCAGUGUUUCAGAGCAGAACAUUUCCUGAUUUUGAUUUUUCACCCCAAAGUUGACACUGCUCACAGGUGCCUUGUCCUGGUUCCCUUCAGGCCAAAUUCAAAGUCACUGUUUGAAUAUAACUAUGCACCAAAGUUGAGAGACUCAGUUAUCCCUGGGGACAGAAGGGAGAACAUGAUGUCCUGGUUGAGACUAGAGCCUGAUCCGUGGGACAGGGAAACCUGGAGGGACUCCAGACCAGUGAGCAGACAGAGAAGCGCUCUUGCACCUCGGUCACUAUCCAUUCGAGUGUCAGCAACUUUGGAUAAAGAGACAGCUGCUGCCUAAAACAAGCAGGUUUUCCAAAACUUCCUGAGAAGCACGUAGCCUUCAUCCAGCAAGAGGAAAGGCGAGGUUUGGGCCACACCAAUUCCCUUCCAUUCAUCCUCAUCUGUGCCACAACACCUAGCCCUGACCUGCAGCUGUCUGGGUGGUUUUGAAUGGAUGACAGUGCUGGCUUGGCCUGAAUAGAGGUAAGAAGAUGCUUUGGGGGAAAAAGGAAAACUGGAAAGCAGACACCUGCCUUUGUGACUAUUUGUUGACUGUCCUGCCAAGCUGUCCGUGGAGUGAUGGGUACAUCGUGUGGCCAGAAAGGAGAAAUGCAACUCCUACUUGCUGACCUUUUUCUUCCCUAAAGUCAUAUUUUCCAGUUCUUCUCCAAAAUCAGAAAGAAAAAAAAA
rnacentral:lncRNA from 1 species